rnacentral:rRNA from 1 species
GACGUAGGGCGCGAGCGUUGUCCGGAUUUAUUGGGCGUAAAGAGCUCGUAGGCGGCUUGUUGCGUCGGCUGUGAAAUCCCGUGGCUUAACUGCGGGUCUGCAGCCGAUACGGGCAGGCAGGAGUUCGGUAGGGGAGACUGGAAUUCCUGGUGUAGCGGUGAAAUGCGCAGAUAUCAGGAGGAACACCGGUGGCGAAGGCGGGUCUCUGGGCCGAUACUGACGCUGAGGAGCGAAAGCGUGGGGAGCAAACAGG